rnacentral:rRNA from 1 species
CUUAAUUUGACUCAACGCGGGAAAUCUUACCGGGUCCGGACACACUGAGGAUUGACAGACAAAUAUGGAAAUUUUAUAUUUCUCAUAUAUAAAGAUGCUAGUUCUUUCAUGAUUAUGUGAUAGGUGGUGCAUGGCCGUUCUUAGUUCGUGGAGUGAUCUGUCUGCUUAAUUGCGUUUCAAUUUUUAUUAUGUAUACGUAUGACCCACGUUUACGCGUGCGAGUCUAGUAUGCUAUCAUUUGAAAGCAACGAACGUGACCGUAUCCUUUUAUUAUAUACGCACGCGUAUAUUUAUUCAUUAAAGGGACCGCUGUUUCUUUUUUUAAACCAGAGGAAGGUUACGGCAAUAACAGGUCUGUGAUGCC